AUGCAGCUACCCUCCCCACGCCGCCAAACUGCCAUCUACCCUGCUCCCUCGCGCCGCCAACCUCCCAUGCAGCCACCACCGCACUCCUACCCCAUGCCGCGCUGCGCCAUCUACACCCGCGCCGCUGCGCCACCACCCUUCCGGGCGGGAUCCGCACUGCCCCCCGCUGAUCUCAGUGGACAACGAUGGAGGGCGGAGGCUCCUAGACAGCAGGGACGGCGGCGGCCUCCACUAGCCACCACGGUCGAGGGCCACACCGACCUUCUCCUCGCCUCGAUUUGUAGGGCGCGGCGCCCUUCCCCUCCCCUCGAAGUUUUGGGGUGCCAACGACCCAGCACGGGACCCUCCGCCACCCCGCCCGACAUCGCAUUCCUCACCUCGGCUAGCCGGAGGGCCUCUGCUCCUCUAUCUAGCGCCGACCAUGGAGUUGACGGGGCCAGUGUGCUUAUGGAGUUCAUGCAGUUCGCCCCCGCGCCGCGUGUGAUUCGGCGAUGCCCUCACCACACCGUGACAUCCACCUCCCCUUCUCUUCGGUCACCAUGGCGACCUGCAGUGGGCCUCGACGGCGACCUUGGUGGGGAGGGCGGCAGCGUUCCCGGGCUCGUGCAACUACUGCCCCCAAUCCCCUCCAGCUCCCCUCGUCCUCGCCCUCGAGCAGCAGCGCGGUGGUUGCCGCUAGACCCCUCCGCGUGUAGUUCUCUUGCCACGAAGUCGCGGUUAGCGGCAGGGCAUCGACCACCAGGACUGCAUCCUACCACCACGACGUCUUUCCCAAUCCCUCCUCAUUCCAACAACGGCAGCGAGGUGCUCCACCACGAGUCCGGGGCAAGGGCAGGCUCUGCCGCACCGGGAACGAGGGAUUCCACACCGGGAGCAAUUUGCCAGGGAAGGGAGAACCACUCCAGGUGA
rnacentral:rRNA from 1 species